UACGGGGGGGGGCAAGCGUUGUUCGGAAUUACUGGGCGUAAAGGGCUCGUAGGCGGCCAACUAAGUCAGACGUGAAAUCCCCAGGCUCAACUUGGGAACUGCGUCUGAUACUGGAUGGCUUGAAUUCGGGAGAGGGAUGUGGAAUUCCAGGUGUAGCGGUGAAAUGCGUAGAUAUCUGGAGGAACACCGGUGGCGAAGGCGGCAUCCUGGACCGGUAUUGACGCUGAGGCGCGAAAGCCAGGGGAGCAAACGGG
rnacentral:rRNA from 1 species